AUGCACUCCAGCUGGUUUUGAUCCACACGAGACACCAGCGUGUAUGCGCACUCGCGUGUUUAUAUAUCUGCAUAUUACAGAAAAUGCGCUUGGUAAGCAGGAGACCUCCAUUUCAUCUUCCUUUUACUGAACGGCAAUCUCCUGGAGAGGAAGAUCCAUGAAAUGUCAGGGAAGAUUAUAACUCCGGGCGGUCCAAAGAGAUGAGGAGGAGAACCACUGCUAUUGCAACGUACAGGAGUCCUUUCAAGAAGAAGAGGAUGUCAGCAGGGUCAUUUUAAACCCUGGAGUGGGUAAAGGUGAAGGUUCUUUGAGCUAUGAAAGCACAAUGAGUGAAUGGAGAGACGGUUGAGUAGGAUAAGAUAAAAAUGUUACAAUCUCCAUUGAAGACAACAGGCAAAGGUCCUGGAAUUGGAGUCACGAGACUUGGCUCUCCAGCCAGGGCUUUGUCACUGGUGAGCUGGGAGGCUGAGGCAGGUUACUGCCCCACUGGGUGUCACUGCAAAACAAGGGGCUUGAGCAAAACAAAUCUCUGGGCUGUUUUCCAACUGUUUGAUACUUUGAAUAGAAAGACAGGACACAAUUAUGUCUUAUUUGGGAGCUGCAUUGCCCUUGUCUGAAAACUCAAGUUUGGGAACAGCAAGUAGACUUCACUUUGUUUACCAAUCUGUUCUAUCCGUGUUGAUUGCUUGAAAUGUGG
ensembl:lncRNA